CAGGGGUUAGUUUAAGAAAAAUUUUAUUUUUGGGUAGUAUUGAUAGGAUGACUCCUACCUCUGA
rnacentral:tRNA from 1 species